GACGAACGCUGGCGGCGUGCUUAACACAUGCAAGUCGAACGAUGAACCGCGAAGUUAUUUCUUCGGAAAGUUGUUGCAGAGGAUUAGUGGCCAACGGGUUAGUAACGCUUUAGGAACCGGCCUUAGACAAGGGAAUAGCCUCGGGAAACGGUGAUUUAUACCCUCUGAUGCUCCACUUACGAGAGUAAGAUAAGUUAAAGCUAUUGCGGUCUAAGAUGGGAUCGCGUCUGAUUAGCUAGUUGGUGAGCUAAAAAGACAACAAGGCGACGAUCAGUAACCGGGAUGAGAGAGUGAACGGUGACACUGGAACUGAGACACGGUCCAAACUCCUACGCGAGGCAGGAGUGGGGAAUAUUGCAACAUCGGGGCAACCCUGAUGCAGCGACGACGCGUGAGCGAUGAAGGAAUUCGUUUCGUAAAGUUCAGGUCUCGGAGCAGAUAAUGACGGUAACUAAGCAGGAAGCCCCGGCUAACUACGUG
rnacentral:rRNA from 1 species